GGAGUUGUAACUCAGUGGUAAAGUACUUGCCUAACAUGCAUGAGACACUGGGUUUGAUCCCCAACACCA
rnacentral:tRNA from 1 species